GAAAAAAAAGAGCUCAGGAGCAACACCCAGACCCUGAGUUCAAGCCCCAUGACUGACAAAAAAUAAAAUCAAAUUCAAUUCUAGUUCAGGAAGCACUGUGUCUGGCCUCUGCCAGUUUCCAGGGGCCACUGGCACUUGCCUUCCUUGGUUUUGCGCUGUCAUAAACGUCUUCCUUCCCAUCCUGCCAAAAGAGAGCAGCUUGCCCAGCACUUUCCCUAAAAAUUUGUUUCCUCGUUUUGCUGGGUUCCUCAAGGAAGAGGCUGCCUCUCAGAGGAGGUGACGAGGCUGAACAGAUUCAGAUCUGCUUCUCAAGGAGACACCUUGGCUUGGCCCACUGAGCCCACGCAGACAGGGACUGCGGCCUUCCAUCCAUCCUGGCCUCCAGUACACUGGCGGGGUCCUCAACUUUCACCAUCAAGGCCAAGUCCAGCUCCCAGCUCCCCCUACUCCAUGUCCUUUUUCACCACUUCAAAUCCAGGGCUCCUCAAGUCACAGCAUAACAUAACCCCCACUCCUGGCUCCUUGCCUGGGUGGGGCAGGUCACAGUGCCCAGCAGGCGACAGAUGAUGAAUCUCACAGUGGCCCUGCUUUGAGCUUUUAUCCACUGCUGGCCAGACAAUCAGUGAGGCCCUGACACUUCAUUGUCCUGCACAUUAAUGCAUCUGCUCACGACGCUCCCUGACUUCCGCCAGCUGCCCAUGCAAGCAUCCAACAUGAUCCAGAGGAGAAAUCAGAAGGAGGUUCUGGGUUGAUCAAUGAUUUGUGAGCUAAUGAGGGGACCUGUGACACCAAACACACUGGGCCAAGACCAUGGGAAAACAAGCAAAGUGGCAAAGAAUGCUUCCUUUUCUUGCCGCCUCUCUUGCUCUUCAGGGCUGCAAAGAAAUCAAGUCCUGUGAUAAAAAUGGUGUCUCUAGUAGCCCUGUACCUGGGCAUGCAGCAGCAUGGCCUGGUUAAGAAAAUGUCAUUUGUACUGUCAUUUCUUCCUCAGAACAAACAUCCAGAAGAAAAAAAAAUGUAUAUUGGGAGGAU